AACGUCCUCUGCUGAAUCACACGUUUUAUCUUUUUUGUGGUUUGCAGGAAAUAAAGUGUGCUUAAGAGAUGUUGCACAAAGAUUUGGAGUAUGCGCUACAACGAUUUUUCGACAAAAUAAAAAAUGAUGGAUUUUCUAUGCGAUAUAGCUGAAACGUCAUCAAAUUUUCUGACAAAGAAAAUACUGCAAACGAAUUCCUUCAAAUUGCAGGAUUUCCGAAAGUUCUUGGCUGUAUUGAUGGGACUUUCAUUAAAGUCCGAACGCCAGCCCACAAAAUAAAAUCGACAUAUGUAAAUAGACAUGACAUCCCUUCGAUAACAUUGCAGGGCAUAUGUGAUGCUCGAAAGAGAUUUAUAGAUACAUUUACAGGAAUCCCGUCGAAAAUUCACGAUG